CUGAUAAUCCAUUAUUUACAAUGAUCCUAAGCUGCUCUAAUAAUUCACCAAUAAUUGCACAAUGGAUAUUCUCACAGGCGAUGCAGAAAGCUCAGGCUAAUGAUUCUCCAUGUGAAGUCAUGGACAAUUGGCCUCAGAUUCUUCCAAAAUAUGUUUUAAAGAUUUGUGGGAUUCCCCCACUAGAUCUAUUAAAAGAGAUUAUCAGAAAGUAGGACCUAGGAAUUUACACUUUAAAAGCUACUACAGGUGAUUCAUAAACACAUUGAAAUUAAACUGUCCCCUCUGUUACCUAGUUAUGUUCUUUGAUGUGGUGUGCCACAUACCACUCUAGAAAAACAAUUGUUUUUAAAUCCCCCAGGGAGCUAAGAAGUGUCUUGGAUUGUUGCAAUGAG
rnacentral:lncRNA from 10 species